ACCCCAGCUGUGAAAAUCAGGCAAAAUUCAGGUAAAAUUUCAGUUAAAAUUUUGAUAUUUUCAGGUAAAAUUUGCGUAAUAAAGUGAUUAUUUGUGUGAAAUGAUUUUGUAAAAUAUACAGUCAAUUUGCAUCCAAUUUGUUUGCGAAUUGCUCUAGAAAACGCCAGACUUGCAUUCCUAGAUCGAGCUUCAAAAAUGGAACAAUUUUCUGGGAAGGACCCCAAAACCCCCGUUUUCUCCCGAAACUUAGUAUGACAGUGCAAGUCAAUCACAAAAAGCUUUAUUAUAAUUAUUACACUUUAGGUAAAUAUUUAUUAAUUCAAAUUUAAAUUCCAGGUGAAAUCCUCCAACAACCUUCAAACUUCAAAUGCUUUGCUACGUUCCUGUAGACUGACACAAUAGUCGAAGAACUCAAAAAAAUUUCCCUAAGAGAUUUUUAAAAUGGCCGAAAAAAAACAAAUUUUGAGCCUUAUCCUAAGCACGCUGUUGCCAUGGUAACAAACUUUCAGCACAAAGGUAGCACAUUGCAAUUCUAAUCCAGUGCAAUGGCAAACGCGCCAAAAGAAAGUUUGUACGUUAAAAACUUAAAUUAACGGCUUUUGUAACCCAUAUACUGUACGCCUUAAUAAUUGAUUUUAAUGCCACAUAAAGAAUUAUAAUAAUCUCUUAAUAAAAACUUGAUUAAGGUUUUGUCUAACCUGGGGCCGGUUGUAUAAAAACGUAGUUAGCGCUAACUGCAGUUAAAAAGUAGUUAAAAAGCCUUAAAAAAUAGUUAACUUUAAUUACGUAGGUAAGCCGGUUGUAUAAAAGUGUAGUUAGCCUUAACUGCAGUUAAAAAGUAGUUAAAGUUAACUAUGCUUUAGGGUAUAGUUAACUGUCCAAAACGUAGUUAAAAAUGGCGUUUGUAUAGGAGUGAACAACAUUUUUCAGUAAAACAACAAUGUAAAGCAACGGUUACCUGAGAUUUUCAAUCGCUAUUUUUCCUGUGAAUGUUUCCUGACAAUAUAAACUCUUCAAACGCUAUCGCUUUGGUGUUUUUACGAAAACAGAACAUAUUUUUGCACAGGACGAUUUCUCGAAGACGAAGUAUGGUCCAUUACACCAAGAAACACUAAUAUGUAAUUGCCAAACAGCUAUAACUUGGUUUAACGUAGGCAUCUCAUAGAAAAACUGCAUUCUUUUAUAAUUUUUGUGGCGCUUUUUCCUUGUUUUCUUGUAUAUAUUUUUACUGUUUUCUAAUGUUUUGAAUAAAAUUCCCGCUUAUUUGGAAAAUACGAGUCCACAAUCAUGUUGAAAAUGUCUGUCAGCGGUCUUAAGUCAUGUAGUUAACUAACUACAGUUAAGGAUUUAACUACAGUUAGCGCUAAUUACGUUUUUAUACGAAGUUCAGGCCCAAAUCACAGAAUAGAGCCUGACACAAAACCUAUCUAAACUGUGAGAUUUCCGUCCAUCUGGUGGACGGGAAAUCUGAUUGGUUGAACAGCAUCAAGAAGGAUUUUGAUUGGUUGCAAGUUCACAUAAACAACAGUUUUAAAAAUAGCUCGGUCUAGGGCGAUAAUUAAUAUAAAUAUCAAACGCAAGUAACCGAAUUCCAUUAUCGAUUUCUUCGAAUUUCUUUUCUUUUAUGCUUUAUAGCAGAAAAUAAAUCAAACAAAC